CCUUACUCGGGUUUGAUACCCCUAACUCGCAAUUUUUUUUUUAGUUUUUUCUUCUUCUUCUCCUCCGGGUGUUCGUUGAGAAAUCAAAAUUGGAGAGAAAUCCAGAGUCAAGGGUCGAAGAAGCUUCUCAUGAUUCGGAUCUGCUAUUUGAAAAGGUUGAAAGAGAAGAGCUUCUUUGUAGAAAGAGUUUGGGGAGAGUUCCAAGUUCCAACAUGGGCGGAUUGAGGUGGAGGAGGUGAAAGAAGUGGAGUUACAGAAGGUGGAAGGCAAGAAGGAGGCGUUGGAGGUGGAGAUGAGGUGAUUGGCGGAUCUGUUAAGAACCACCGGCGAAAAUAAGAAAAGGGCCUUACUAGGGAUUCGAACUCGGGUUAAUAGGGUUAAGUGACCUUGCUAAAUACCACUAGGGUACGGUAAUAAAUUUCGUUUAGUGUAGACAAACAAUUAUAUAUAUAUAUAUAUAUAUAU
rnacentral:misc_RNA from 1 species